UACAGAGACCUCAAGCGUUAUCCGGAAUCAUUGGGCGUAAAGCGUACCGAUAGGUGGUUUUGUUAGUCUUGGGUAAAAGCCAGAAGCUCAACUUCUGAGUUUGCUUAAGAUACUGCGAAACUAGAGGGGCAAAGAGGUGAUUGGAACGAAUGGUGUAGUAGUGAAAUGCGUUGAUAUCAUUCGGAACACCGAAAGCGAAGGCAGAUCACUGGGUGCCUCCUGACACUGCUAGGACGAAAGCGUGGGUACGCGAAUGG
rnacentral:rRNA from 1 species